rnacentral:misc_RNA from 1 species
GAUGAAGAACGUAGUGAAAUGCGAUAAGUAAUGUGAAUUGCAGAAUUCAGUGAAUCAUCGAAUCUUUGAACGCACCUUGCGCCCUUUGGCUAUUCCGAAGGGCAUGCCUGUUUGAGUAUCAUGAACACCUCAACUCUCAUGGUUUGCCAUGAUGAGCUUGGACUCUGGGGGUCUUGCUGGCCUAUGGUCAGCUCCUCUCAAAUAAAUCAGCUUGCCAGUGUUUGGUGGCAUCACAGGUGUGAUAACUAUCUACGCUUGUGGUUUUCCAUCAGGUAACCUUCAGUGAUGGAGGUUCGCUGGAGCUCAUAAAUGUCCCUCCUCAGCGAGGACAGCUUUUUGAACGUUUGAUCUCAAAUCAGGUAGGACUACCCGCUGAACUUAAGCAUAUCAAUAAGCGGAGGA